AACGAACGCUGGCGGCAGGCCUAACACAUGCAAGUCGAGCGGACCCUUCGGGGUUAGCGGCGGACGGGUGCGUAACGCGUGGGAACGUGCCCUUUGCUUCGGAAUAGCCCUGGGAAACUGGGAGUAAUACCGGAUACGCCCUUUUGGGGAAAGAUUUAUCGGCGAAGGAUCGGCCCGCGUUGGAUUAGGUAGUUGGUGGGGUAAUGGCCUACCAAGCCGACGAUCCAUAGCUGGUUUGAGAGGAUGAUCAGCCACACUGGGACUGAGACACGGCCCAGACUCCUACGGGAGGCAGCAGUGGGGAAUCUUAGACAAUGGGGGAAACCCUGAUCCAGCCAUGCCGCGUGAGCGAUGAAGGCCUUAGGGUUGUAAAGCUCUUUCACCGGGGAAGAUAAUGACGGUACCCGGAGAAGAAGCCCCGGCUAACUCCGUG
rnacentral:rRNA from 1 species